AACAAGUCGGAAGCCCGUUAUAUAAUGCACUGUGUAGACAACGAGAACGACAGGCUAUUUUUAUUUUGUUUACCGUAUGCUGUGUAAUAGGGACUCCUCCGAGCAGCAUCUCUCCCCUGUGAGCCCGAACUUCAGAUAGAAUUGAGGAAAAAAUUUAAGCAUUUCUUUUACGACCAGACGAAGAAAUCUAGUCACAUUGCAGGCCAAGCCAGAUGGGCAAGCAAUACAAGCUGUGAAUUUAUUCUUGACCCCGUAGGACAGUGACCACCGUCAUUUUUUAAUUCACCAUACAGUUAUGCACUGCCAAUAAGUGAAAAGGUCAAGAAAAGCAGUAGCUCAGUGGCUGAAUUUUUCUGAAGUGCUUUACAGCAGGGAAAGUGGGGAAACCUCUUAAAGUGGCGUCUUAUUCAGUAAGUUAAACCCUUUUUCCUUCAGUUAAUUAAUUAAUUAAUUUUCUUUAAAUUUUUUCAAAUCCUAUGUAUCAGAAUAAUUAUAGUUACUUAGAAGGUGUCCCCAGGAAGGUGUGAAUCCUCAUCGCUACCGUGGCUUUCCCCCUCCCC
rnacentral:lncRNA from 1 species